CUAACCCCGCUCAGACCUUUUUUAUUUUUUGAGGUUGGGUUUAGGAAUGUUACAAAACAAUCCACAAUUAACAACACUGAAAACAUACUUCAGAACAACAUUUGACUUGAGGAAUUCAGUUUGAAAGUAAACUUGAGACACGAAUUGUAAAGGUGUUUUGUGUAUCCUCUUCCAAUCAAUGUUCAGAUUCCGUAAAAGUAUUUAUUCAAGGGAACAUGCUUCAUGUAUGAUGUAGUGUUGCUAAUUCUGGAAUGUCUUGUAAUCUUCCUAAACCCAACUAGAACAGUAUUAAAAGAGAGGCAAAAAAUGAAAAUGAAACCACGAUGAUAUAAUUCUACGUCCGGUUGGCAUGAUCUAAACUAUGGCCUUGGAUCAAAUCAUCACUUCCGGAAGUUUCGCAAACUGAUAAACAGUAAAUAUUCAAGAUGAUAAUGCCCGUGUGUAGCGUCUCAACAUUUAUUAGAGACUUUUUAGGGGUUCGUUCCAGCCUAGCACUUCAAUCGAAAGAACUAACAAACUCGGGUGUAGAUAAAAAUAAACAUCUUUAUUUGGAUCAAUUUAUUUGUGAUACAUCGCAUUAAGGGGAGAUAAUUUGGGUGAGACGCCAACCCUUUGGAUAAAUUCCCAGGUAUGGAAACAGGAAUGAGGUAAAUAAAUACAUUUGCCCUGUCAGGCCGGUGGAUAUGACGGGAUUAAAUCGGAGAUUUGGUGACAUAAGGAAUUGGUAAGACUUGGGGGAAUGGGUGAACCACAACUAAUUCUAGGCCUAUCUUGGAUCAAGCCAGUCAAGGUUAAACCAACCUAUGAGUCUUUAAAUAGGAGACCAGUUAUGGAUAAAUUACCACAGCCAAAGCUAGGAUAUUAAUUCCUUACCCAUUUUUGGUGAUCCAUAUCCAAAUUGAAAUAGCUGGAUUGCUGCCAAUUACGUAAGGAGCUUUCCCGAGUGCAUACUGAGGAUUUCAUUGUCGUCUGCUUCUAUUUAUAAGGGGAUUCCGAUGACGUCAGUUGUCGACCAAUCAAUGCGAGCGUUACUAACAAUAACGACGUUAUAGCCUUGACCGCGCCAAAGUGUCAUGGCCGCCAGCUGUUUGAUGUCGCUUGUUUCGCUAACUGAUUUGUGUCAAUUCAUCGGCCUAACGGGAAUGUUAUAAAUAUAAUUAUGUGAAAAGGACAAGAUGGAUAUCGGGCAUUAUAUUGUGAUACAUGGUAAUGUAUGACAUUGUUAUAUAAAUGUGUUUCGGGCGUGAACUCUACAAGGGAGCUGGUCUCAUUUUUUGACACUCUCAGUCGGAAACGACGUGCGAAAGACUGGAAUCGCCUGGACCGUAACACGUGCCCACCGCGCUCGUGUCGUGAAUGACUACCUCCAACGUCACUAUAUUGUCAUAUGCCUUGGCCAGUGAUGAGUCCUGACCUUUCCCCUAUAGGGCACGUCUGCGACUAGAAAUGGUUCCACUAGUCUGAUGUCUUAGGUCUUACUCCAGCCACAGUAGUGGACUCUCCUAAGGCCUUCCUUUGCGCAAGUUUUGUAGUCAUUUGACUACAAAAAAGUUACUGGCCUAUAACUCCCUUAAUUUCCAAUUACACUGACCCCAAACUGUACUGUUCAUAGCUUAACAUAUAAUCACUUAUUUCCAAUCCAUGCAAACUAUGAUGAUAUGUGUUGAAAAAUUUGCAACUGGACCUUAUUUUACUUGGGUAAAGAGUCGAAUAGUGUAUCAAUUGCAGCCUUAGAUAAGAAUUAUCUUGGCUAAAAAUUGCAGCUAGUCUGCGACAUGAUCGGGAAACGUGUUAGUCGACGUCAACCGACAACACACAAGAAUUGGCCGUGAAGAGGAGUGGGUCAGAUUGCCCCAAAUCGUAAUGUGUAGGCAAUUGGCCCGUUAUUAACAUAAGCUUGUUACCUCUAAUUAAAACAGCAGUGCAUUUCCGCAGUUUUGUAUUGUUUCUGAAUAUCACCUACUUUUUUUGAAGAGUAUAUUUGUAUUUAAAAAUCAGGAAUUUGGAAUGGUUCU